rnacentral:misc_RNA from 1 species
GUGCGCUGUUAUUGCCUCUUUUAUGUCAAGGCUGUGCGCGUGACACUUCUGUGUCGCUGUGUUUUCGGUUUGGGCGGGUUUCUUUGUCAGAUUCUCCUAAAGCUACAAAAUGAGGGACUGGCUGUUCAACAUCCAUGAUGGUUAUCUGGAGAGCCUGUGCCGAGGAUUCAAAAACGGCAUUCUCAAGAACAAUGACUACCUGAACUUGGUGCAGUGUGAAACUCUUGAGGACCUGAAGCUGCACCUGCAGUCGACCGACUACGGCCACUUCCUGGCCAACGAGGCCGGCCCGCUGUCCGUCACCACCAUCGACGACCGGCUGCGCGACAAACUGGUGCUGGAGAUGCAGCACAUCCGCAACCACUCGGUGGAGCCGCUCUCCACCUUCAUCGACUACAUCACGUACGGCUACAUGAUCGACAACAUCAUCCUGCUGAUCACGGGCACGCUGCACCAGCGGCCGCUCUCGGAGCUGCUGCCCAAGUGCCACCCGCUGGGCAGCUUCGAACAGAUGGAGGCCAUCCACGUGGCUUCCACGCCGGCAGAGCUCUACAGCGCCGUGCUCGUCGACACGCCGCUCGCGCCGUUCUUCGUCGACUGCAUCUCGGAGCAGGACCUGGACGAGAUGAACAUCGAGAUCAUCCGCAACACGCUCUACAAGGCCUACCUCGAGUCCUUCUACGGCUUCUGCAAGAGCGUCGGCGGCACCACGGCCGACGUCAUGUGCGAGAUCCUGGCGUUUGAGGCUGACCGUCGUGCCAUCAUCAUCACAAUCAACUCGUUCGGCACGGAGCUGAGCAAGGACGACCGGAGCAAGCUGUACCCGCGCUGCGGCAAGCUCAACCCGGACGGCAUCGCCGCUCUGGCGCGCGCCGACGACUACGAACAGGUCAAGGCCGUCGCCGAGUACUACGGCGAGUACCGCACGCUGUUUGACGAGGCCGGUAACAACCCGGGCGACAAGACACUCGAGGACAAGUUCUUCGAGCGCGAGGUGCGCCUCAACAUCAACGCCUUCCUGCAGCAGUUCCACUACGGCACCUUCUACUCGUACCUGAAGCUGAAGGAGCAGGAGUGCCGCAACAUCGUCUGGAUCGCUGAGUGCGUCUCGCAAAAACACAAGGCCAAAAUCGAUAACUACAUCCCAAUCUGGUAGGAAUUCGAAAGACACGGUCGGCGACUUCCAUUGGAUGGGGGCGUGAGAACGAACAGCGCCAGAUGGACGGCGCUGAUUGGUCCAGAUCUGGGCAGUCCGUGGCGCUGAUUGGCGGAGCCUGAUUUUCGGGCACGCUGAUUGGCUCACGAGCCUGAAUUAUUAGCCAGUUCGAGGGCCUCUGACUCUGCUAUUUGAAUAACCCACUGAAAAAGAGUGAUCAAUUUAGGUGAAAUAAGCCCGCAAGCCCAUUAGGUAUAUUCUGUCAGAUUUACGUUAUAUCUUGUCUGAGGCCGCUGUCUGACGUGUGUGUCGGAGUCGCGUUUUUAACCGGAGCUGGCACUGGCGAGCUCCGCCCUUAAUGUUGUGUCCCAGAACCCAGAAAGCUAUCACGCGAGCUCUGUAUGUAAAUGUUGAAUGGCCGGAUAGACUACACUUAUGUCGAUGGUCCGCGCAAAUCAUGUGUGCGUGUGUGCAAUUAUUGAUUUAUAUACCUACAUUUUGUGAUGAAUAAUUGUAUAGUCGUAUGCGGCUGCAUAUAUGCGUUCUGCGGUGUCGUGGAGUCCUUGCGGCCUGUCAGUAGGGCGGAUCGACUGUAGCGCGGCCGCUACUGUACAUUCCAACCGCCGGCGUUCGGCGUUCGGCCGCCGCCAACGUUAGUAGCAGGCGCCGCGGAGGAGCCAACAGAAUAAAGCCACGAACCGACCGA